GACGAACGCUGGCGGCGUGCUUAACACAUGCAAGUCGAACGGAAAGGCCUCUUUCGGGGGGUACUCGAGUGGCGAACGGGUGAGUAACACGUGAGUAACCUGCCCUUGACUUUGGGAUAACUUCAGGAAACUGGGGCUAAUACCGGAUAGGAGCUCCUGCUGCAUGGUGGGGGUUGGAAAGUUUCGGCGGUUGGGGAUGGACUCGCGGCUUAUCAGCUUGUUGGUGGGGUAGUGGCUUACCAAGGCUUUGACGGGUAGCCGGCCUGAGAGGGUGACCGGCCACAUUGGGACUGAGAUACGGCCCAGACUCCUACGGGAGGCAGCAGUGGGGAAUAGUGCACAAUGGGUGGAAGCCUGAUGCAGCAACGCCGUGUGCGGGAUGACGGCCUUCGGGUUGUAAACCGCUUUCGCUCAUGACGAAGCUUUGUGUGACGGUAGUGGGUAAAGAAGCACCGGCUAGCUACGUG
rnacentral:rRNA from 1 species